rnacentral:ncRNA from 1 species
AAAGUUGAACAUAGGCUGAGUCUCUACUCGCUCUUGGAUGGAGCACUGGAUUGGAUACCCGGGAAACCGGCGCUUCCAUUUAUAAGAAGUUAAAUUACUGGAAGCGUCUGUAAGGUUACAACACAAGUCACUGAUAAUUCUGAUGAAUAUUUCAAGUUACUGACAUCUGCCCGGCAUCAAUGAUAAACGGCGGCUGUAUUUUAAACGGUCCUAAGGUAGCAAAAUUCCUUGUCGGGUAAUCUCCGUCCUGCAUGAACGGUGUAACGACUUCCCCAUUGUCGCUAGUGUGAGACUCCUAAUAAAUAGAAUUAUCCAUGAAUAUGUGGAAUCAUACGGCCCGACGGUAAGACCCUGAGCACCUUAACUUCCCUAAAAGUUCUUAUGUGUUGGCAUGGUUACGAGAUUUAAGGAU